ensembl:lncRNA
CUCACUAUCCCUUCCACCCCCCAAUCUCUCCCUGUCUUCACCAUGUUCUGCCUGGCUUCCCACAGCCCCUGUUUAAAGAGACUCAUGAGAAGCCAGAGCAGAAACCUGUCCCUAUCCAUCCCUCUCGCUCUCCCUACACCUCUCUCUAACCUGGCCCACGUCAAUACAAAAUCCCCCCUUACCAAACCUAACAACACCCGUGCCCUAGCCCACAGUCUCCUCCCUGCCACAAGAGAAUCUUGGACAGGUGGGGGAUUGCACAAAACUAUACCGGUACAUGAUGGAACGUACCGGCAAGCACUUAUGGAGGCUCAACCAAUUCAGGUGCUUGAGCCUGUUGUCCAGACCCCGCACCUGCACUCCCUCCCAGACUCUUUACCACUGCGAUACGCAUGUUCCAAUUUAACGUCGCUGAGCCGGAGGUCUCAAAAUGGACCCCGAGAAUCCUCAGGGCCCCCUCACAGAGAGAUAACCCCCCGGGCACAUCCGUUCUACCGCACCAUCUUCCGCAAAACUUGACGGAAGACUUUGCAUGUUUCAGAACUGCUCCCGACGCUCGGGUGAAAUCCCCAAAGAUGGCAAGGGACCUUGUCAGGCACGAGUCCUUGCACAGCAGCAAGGAAGUGUCAUCGGCGUACUGCGUCAUCUUAACACGCAGCCCACCACUUCCAGAGAUCAACAAGCCUUCCACCCCUGUGUCAAAUCAAAUCAAAUUUAUUUAUAUAGCCCUUCGUACAUCAGCUGAUAUCUCAAAGUGCUGUACAGAAACCCUGCCUAAAACCCCAAACAGCAAGCAAUGCAGGUGUAGAAGCACGGUGGCUAGGAAAAACUCCCUAGAAAGGCCAAAACCUAGGAAGAAACCUAGAGAGGAACCAGGCUAUGUGGGGUGGCCAGUCCUCUUCUGGCUGUGCCGGGUGGAGAUUAUAACAGAACAUGGCCAAGAUGUUCAAAUGUUCAUAAAUGACCAGCAUGGUCGAAUAAUAAUAAGGCAGAACAGUUGAAACUGGAGCAGCAGCACAGUCAGGUGGAAGUUGAAACUGGAGCAGCAGCAUGGCCAGGUGGACUGGGGACAGCAAGGAGUCAUCAUGUCAGGUAGUCCUGGGGCAUGGUCCUAGGGCUCAGGUCAGUUGAAACUGGAACAGCAGCAUGGCCAGGUGGACUGGGGACAGCAAGGAGUCAUCAUGUCAGGUAGUCCUGGGGCAUGGUCCUAGGGCUCAGGUCCUCCGAGAGAGAGAAAGAAAGAGAGAAGGAGAGAAUUAGAGAACGCACACUUAGAUUCACACAGGACACCGAAUAGGACAGGAGAAGUACUCCAGAUAUAACAAACUGACCCCAGCCCCCCGACACAUAAACUACUGCAGCAUAAAUACUGGAGGCUGAGACAGGAGGGGUCAGGAGACACUGUGGCCCCAUCCGAGGACACUCCCGGACAGGGCCAAACAGGAAGGAUAUAACCCCACCCACUUUGCCAAAGCACAGCCCCCACACCACUAGAGGGAUAUCUUCAACCACCAACUUACCAUCCUGAGACAAGGCUGAGUAUAGCCCACAAAGAUCUCCGCCACGGCACAACCCAAGGGGGGGGCGCCAACCCAGACAGGAUGACCACAACAGUGAAUCAACCCACUCAGGUGACGCACCCCCUCCAGGGACGGCAUGAGAGAGCCCCAGUAAGCCAGUGACCCAGCCCCUGUAAUAGGGUUAGAGGCAGAGAAUCCCAGUGGAAAGAGGGGAACCGGCCAGGCAGAGACAGCAAGGGCGGUUCGUUGCUCCAGAGCCUUUCCGUUCACCUUCCCACUCCUGGGCCAGACUACACUCAAUCAUAUGACCCACUGAAGAGAUGAGUCUUCAGUAAAGACUUAAAGGUUGAGACC